GGGCAUGUGGCUCAGUGACAGUGUGCAUGCCUGGCAUGCAUGAGACCCUGAGUUCAAACUCAGCCCA
rnacentral:tRNA from 1 species